rnacentral:lncRNA from 1 species
GCAGUGUUUAAAUUGCUUUUCUUUAAUCAAUUCGCACAUAUUUGUUGGGACAUUUAGCAAAAUGGGAAAUGGUAGAGUUGCCCAGUUUUGCCGAGCUCUAAGCUUGGAAGCAGAGCCGGCUACCGCGUUCAGGUUUCACGAGAAGCCCAGACUCAGGGUGAAUCCUGAAGGUUGAUCCAUCAUAUAAGCUUCCUCCAUCUCCCUCUGUGCAGGGCUGACUGGAGAAACGCUUAAAUAAGAAGAAAGCUGCAAGGUGGGGGCGGGAGCAUGUACAGCUGUGGGUCAUUAGCAAUAAUCACGGCCCGCCGGCAGGAGAGGAAGCCGAGCGUGGGGACAAGGGAGAGGCUUGGUCACCAGGAUAAAGAACUCAGUGUAAAAGCCACAGGAUGAGGACUCAGCACAGAGGAAAUGGUGGGGCCUACUGACGGCGGACCGAGGAGAGUGAUGGUUAAAGUCGAGGUCUGCAGGCCGAUGGAAGCGGACGUUUCAGAGGAGGCCAAGGAGGACUCAUCAGUACAGCUGUUCUCUGCUCCUGCGAUUGUGCCUCGCUGUGCGCCGGAACAGGAGUGCGCGGUGGAGGGGGUUUCAACUGACACUGAGAGGAAACGGUCCCUUCUUGUUUCUCCAGGGCAACUCCAACAUCUCAGAUGAAGCGCAGGUACUUCUGACUUUGGUUUUAACCCUAUCAAAGAAGUGUAUUUCAGGGGAAAACAAGGCUUUACACAAGUCUAUGCUUUCCAGCUUGACUCAUCUGAGUGCGGGCAGAUCCCUGCCUGAUGAGGUAACGUGGGCAACAGAAAAAUCCACGUGGCCGUCAUCACUCCGCCGGUGAGCAGUGAGAGGGCUCGACGGGCGGGCUCGACGGGCAGCCUCGCACUGGGAGAGGCUUCAACACUGGGAACCCUGUCACAAAGAGCCUGGGGGAGCUCCAGCCCAUCCUGCCGGCCCAAACUUGACUUCACCGGCGAGGCACUGCUACCGCCCUCAAAACUGCAGCAGAGAGCAAAGGAGUUUAUGGUGCGCUGGCAAGACAGGAUUACUGACAUCCAGCACCGCCCCUUACCAGCAGAGUACAGGAACUAUCUGCAUUCUCUGUGAAUUAUAACGGCCCACAGGCAGAUGAGAAUUAUCUAAUUUUUUUAUCGAAGUAUACUUGAUUUACAAGGAUUUACACAAACAUACACGUGUGUGUAUGUACAUAUUUCUUUUUCAGAUUCUUUUCCAUUAUAAGUUAUUGUAAGAUAUUGAAUAUAGUUCUCUGUAUUAUGCACAGGAGGCCCUUGUUGUUAUGUUACAGUAG